rnacentral:rRNA from 1 species
UAGGGAAUCUUCGGCAAUGGGGGGAACCCUGACCGAGCAACGCCGCGUGAGUGAAGAAGGUUUUCGGAUCGUAAAGCUCUGUUGUUAAGGAAGAACGAGUGUGAGAAUGGAAAGUUCAUACUGUGACGGUACUUAACCAGAAAGGGACGGCUAACUACGUGCCAGCAGCCGCGGUAAUACGUAGGUCCGGAGCGUUGUCCGGAUUUAUUGGGCGUAAAGCGAGCGCAGGCGGUUAGAUAAGUCUGAAGUUAAAGGCAGUGGCUCAACCAUUGUAGGCUUUGGAAACUGUUUGGCGUAAGUGCAGAAGGGGAGAGUGGAAUUCCAUGUGUAGCGGUGAAAUGCGUAGAUAUAUGGAGGAACCCCGGUGGCGAAAGCGGCUCUCUGGUCUGUAACUGACGCAGAGGCUCGAAAGCGUGGGGAGCGAACAGG